rnacentral:rRNA from 1 species
UGGGGAAUAUUGCACAAUGGAGGAAACUCUGAUGCAGCGACGCCGCGUGAGCGAUGAAGUAUUUCGGUAUGUAAAGUUCUAUCAGCAGGGAAGAUAAUGACGGUACCUGACUAAGAAGCACCGGCUAAAUACGUGCCAGCAGCCGCGGUAAUACGUAUGGUGCAAGCGUUAUCCGGAUUUACUGGGUGUAAAGGGCGAGUAGGCGGGAUGGAAAGUCAGAUGUGAAAUACCGAGGCUUAACUUCGGGGCUGCAUUUGAAACUUCUGUUCUUGAGUGAUGGAGAGGCAGGCGGAAUUCCCGGUGUAGCGGUGAAAUGCAUAGAGAUCGGGAGGAACACCAGUGGCGAAGGCGGCCUGCUGGACAUUAACUGACGCUGAGGCGCGAAAGUGUGGGGAGCAAACAGGAUUAGAUACCC